GACGAACGCUGGCGGCGUGCUUAACACAUGCAAGUCGAACGGAAAGUCCCUGCUUUUGUGGGGUGCUCGAGUGGCGAACGGGUGAGUAACACGUGAGUAACCUGCCCUUGACUUUGGGAUAACUUCAGGAAACUGGGGCUAAUACCGGAUAGGAGCUCCUGCUGCAUGGUGGGGGUUGGAAAGUUUCGGCGGUUGGGGAUGGACUCGCGGCUUAUCAGCUUGUUGGUGGGGUAGUGGCUUACCAAGGCUUUGACGGGUAGCCGGCCUGAGAGGGUGAGCGGACCCACUGGGCCUGGGAUAAGGCCCAGACCACUAUGGGACGCAGGAGAGGGGAAGAGUGCACAGUGGGCGGGAGGCUGAUGUAGUCAAGCAGCGUGGGGGAUGACGGCCUUCGGGUUGUAAACCGAAUUCGUCUGUGACGAAGCGUGAGUGACGGUAACGGGUGAAGAAGCACCGGCUAACUCCGUG
rnacentral:rRNA from 1 species